AGCGAACGCUGGCGGCAGGCCUAACACAUGCAAGUCGAACGAACUCUUCGGAGUUAGUGGCGGACGGGUGAGUAACACGUGGGAACGUGCCUUUUGGUUCGGAAUAACUCAGGGAAACUUGUGCUAAUACCGAAUGCGCCCUUCGGGGGAAAGAUUUAUCGCCAUUAGAGCGGCCCGCGUCUGAUUAGCUAGUUGGUGAGGUAACGGCUCACCAAGGCGACGAUAAGUAGCUGGUCUGAGAGGAUGACCAGCCACACUGGGACUGAGACACGGCCCAGACUCCUACGGGAGGCAGCAGUGGGGAAUCUUGCGCAAUGGGCGAAAGCCUGACGCAGCCAUGCCGCGUGAAUGAUGAAGGUCUUAGGAUUGUAAAAUUCUUUCACCGGGGACGAUAAUGACGGUACCCGGAGAAGAAGCCCCGGCUAACUUCGUG
rnacentral:rRNA from 1 species